rnacentral:rRNA from 1 species
AGCGAACGCUGGCGGCAGGCCUAACACAUGCAAGUCGAGCGCCCAGCAAUGGGAGCGGCAGACGGGAUAGUAACACGUGGGAACGUACCUUUCAGUUCGGAACAACCCAGGGAAACUUGGGCUAAUACCGAAUACGUCCGUAAGGAGAAAGAUUUAUCGCUGAAAGAUCGGCCCGCGUCUGAUUAGCUAGUUGGUGAGGUAAUGGCUCACCAAGGCGACGAUCAGUAGCNGGUCUGAGAGGAUGAUCAGCAUCACUGGGACUGAGACACGGCCCAGACUCCUACGGGAGGCAGCAGUGGGGAAUAUUGGACAAUGGGCGCAAGCCUGAUCCAGCCAUGCCGCGUGGAUGAUGAAGGCCUUAGGGUUGUAAAGUCCUUUCGGCGGGGAAGAUAAUGACGGUACCCGCAGAAGAAGCCCCGGCUAACUUCGU